GUGCUCACUUCAGCAGCACAUAUAUUAAAAUUGGAACGAUACAGAGAAAAUUAGCACGGCCCCUAUGCAAGGAUGACACACAGAUUCGUGAAGCGUUCUCUCUAUAU